rnacentral:lncRNA from 1 species
CAAAUGGCCUCUAUUAAAGACCUACCCAGUGUAUUUAUUGUGAACUAGUUCUCGUCCUGAAUAUGCAUGAAAUAUUUGCCACUGGACGUUAAGCAACCAACAAUCAAUCAAUCAACAUUACAAUAUUUUACAUGCACCAUUUGCAAGAUUUUAACUAAAUGUAUAAAACGUCAGAUUGAUGAUCUUAUUUUACGCAAAAUCUAUGUAAACCCACUCAAUUCUUCCUCUUUUUGUGUUUUGAUACUGCUGUUUUAUUUUACAGAAUCCAGCUAGUCUAUAACUCAUAUUGGAUGAACCACUCAUUGCCAGUUUUAUAAAGUUAACACGAUUAACAUGAGUAACUACAGUACGACAUCCAUUUGACGAGUGAUAACGAAUCAACAGUUAUAGAAUACCGA